rnacentral:rRNA from 1 species
UACGUAGGGCGCAAGCGUUGUCCGGAAUUAUUGGGCGUAAAGAGCUCGUAGGCGGUUUGUCGCGUCUGCUGUGAAAACCUAAGGCUCAACCUUGGGCUUGCAGUGGGUACGGGGCAGACUAGAGUGCGGUAGGGGUGACUGGAAUUCCUGGUGUAGCGGUGGAAUGCGCAGAUAUCAGGAGGAACACCGAUGGCGAAGGCAGGUCACUGGGCCGCAACUGACGCU